rnacentral:miRNA from 1 species
UUAUGGUCAGAAGGAGUGAACUA